AGUGGCGGACGGGUGAGUAACACGUGACCAAACAACCUCGAAGUUGGGAAUAGCUCUGCGAAAGUAGGGGUAAUACCGAAUGUGGCCCAGGGCGGGCAUCCGCCUUGGUCUAAAGAUUCAUCGCUUCGAGACGGGGUCGCGGCCUAUUAGCUUGUUGGUGGGGUAACGGCCCACCAAGGCGAUGAUGGGUAGCUGGUCUGAGAGGACGACCAGCCACACUGGGACUGAGACACGGCCCAGACUCCUACGGGAGGCAGCAGUGAGGAAUCUUCCGCAAUGGGCGAAAGCCUGACGGAGCAACGCCGCGUGUGGGAUGAAGACUCUAGGGUUGUAAACCACUGUCGGAGGGGACGAUCGUGACGGUACCCUCCAAGAAAGCCCCGGCUAACUACGUGCCAGCAGCCGCGGUAAUACGUAGGGGGCGAGCGUUAUCCGGAUUUACUGGGCGUAAAGCGCGUUAAGGCGGAUGGCAAAGUUGGGGGUGAAAUUUCGGGGCUCAACCCCGAAACUGCCGCCAA
rnacentral:rRNA from 1 species